UUGGAGGGCAAGUCUGGUGCCAGCAGCCGCGGUAAUUCCAGCUCCAAUAGCGUAUAUUAAAGUUGUUGCAGUUAAAAAGCUCGUAGUUGAAUUUCGGGAUCAAUUAGUCGGUCGUGCCUCUGGUACGUACUGGUUUUAUUGGUUCCUCCCUUCUGACGAAACAUGAUGUCAUUAAUUUGGUGUCGUGGAGAAUCAGGACUGUUACCUUGAAAAAAUUAGAGUGUUUAUAGCAGGCUAACGCUUGAAUACAUUAGCAUGGAAUAAUGAAAUAGGACGUUCGACCCUAUUUUGUUGGUUUCUAGGAUCGACGUAAUGAUUAAUAGGGAUAGUUGGGGGCAUUAGUAUUCAAUUGUCAGAGGUGAAAUUCUUGGAUUUAUUGAAGACUAGCUACUGCGAAAGCAUUUGCCAAGGAUGUUUUCAUUAAUCAAGAACGAAAGUUAGGGGAUCGAAGACGAUCAGAUACCGUCGUAGUCUUAACCAUAAACUAUGCCGACUAGGGAUCGGAUGAUGUUAAUUUUUUAAUGACUCAUUCGGCGCCUUACGGGAAAC
rnacentral:rRNA from 1 species